GCUUACGGCCAUACUACCCUGAGAACGCCCGAUCUCGUCCGAUCUCGGAAGCUAAGCAGGGUCGGGCCUGGUUAGUACUUGGAUGGGAGACCGCCUGGGAAUACCAGGUGCUGUAAGCU
ensembl:rRNA 5S_rRNA 5S ribosomal RNA